AUGCAUAGAUAAUGUGCCCUUAGUUCGGGAUAGCCACUGGAAACGGUGAUUAAUACCGGAUACUCCUUCUUGUUAUAAGACAAGUCGGGAAAGUUUUUCGCUAAGGGAUCAGUCUAUGUUCCAUCAGCUUGUUGGUGAGGUAAUGGCUCACCAAGGCUAUGACGGAUAUCUGGUUUGAGAGGAUGAUCAGACACACUGGAACUGAGACACGGUCCAGACUCCUACGGGAGGCAGCAGUGAGGAAUAUUGCACAAUGGAGGAAACUCUGAUGCAGCAACGCCGCGUGGAGGAUGACGCAUUUCGGUGUGUAAACUCCUUUUAUUAGGGAAGAUAAUGACGGUACCUAAUGAAUAAGCACCGGCUAACUCCGUGCCAGCAGCCGCGGUAAUACGGAGGGUGCAAGCGUUACUCGGAAUCACUGGGCGUAAAGGGUGCGUAGGCUGGCUUUUAAGUCAGAUGUGAAAUCCAAUGGCUCAACCAUUGAACUGCAUUUGAAACUGAAAGCCUAGAGUUCAGAAGGGGCAGAUGGAAUUAGUGGUGUAGGGGUAAAAUCCGUAGAUAUCACUAGGAAUAUCAAAAGCGAAGGCGAUCUGCUGGGAU
rnacentral:rRNA from 1 species